rnacentral:rRNA from 1 species
AUUGAACGCUGGCGGCAUGCCUUACACAUGCAAGUCGAACGGCAGCACGGGGCAACCUGGUGGCGAGUGGCGAACGGGUGAGUAAUGCAUCGGAACGUGCCAUUGAGUGGGGGAUAACGUAGCGAAAGUUGCGCUAAUACCGCAUAUUCUGUGAGCAGGAAAGCAGGGGACCGCAAGGCCUUGCGCUCUUUGAGCGGCCGAUGUCAGAUUAGCUAGUUGGUGAGGUAACGGCUUACCAAGGCGACGAUCUGUAGCGGGUCUGAGAGGAUGAUCAGCCACACUGGAACUGAGACACGGUCCAGACUCCUACGGGAGGCAGCAGUAGGGAAUAUUGGACAAUGGGGGCAACCCUGAUCCAGCCAUGCCGCGUGAGUGAAGAAGGCCCUCGGGUUGUAAAGCUCUUUUGUCCGGAAAGAAAAGCAAUCGGUUAAUACCCGGUUGUCCUGACGGUACCGGAAGAAUAAGCACCGGCUAACUUCGUGCC